rnacentral:rRNA from 1 species
AUACCCUAUUAUUGAAARUAUAAAUUGUAAUACUAGAGUAGUAAUAGUUAUGUUCUUGAAAUUCAAAAAAUCUGGCGGUAUUUUAGUCUAUUCAGAGGAACCUGUCCUGUAAUUGAUAAUCCACGAUUAAUUGUACUUAUUUUUAGUUUGUAUAUCGUCGUAGUUAGAAUGUUUUUAAAAAAGAGGGAAUAUUCAAAAUUUAAUUGAAAUUAAAUAAAAUCAGAUCAAGAUACAGCGUAUAAAUAAGAAGAGAUGGGUUACAAUAAAUUUAUUUAAAUGGUUAAAAUAAUUAAAAUUAUUUUAUAAAGUGGAUUUGAUAGUAAUAUAAUUAAUUUAAAUUAUAUGAUUUUAGCUCUAAAAUAUGUACAUAUCGCCCGUCGCUCCUUCUUGAAAGAUGGA